UUUUUUUUUUCUAUAAAUCAAUUAAAAGACCAAAAAGAAGAAAAAAAAAGUUUUGAAGUUUCCGUUCCAUUGAACUGUUGCUCAGUUAGCAACCUCACCAUCACCGGCAGCAAAGAUGAACUUAGCCGCUCUCAACAGCUUGGGGUGCAGAUAUGGGAUUGGUUACACCACAAUCUCAAGCUGCAAUCACCUGCGUCGCAGCAGAACUACUCCGUUUGAAGCGCGCUACUGUGAGAAUCAAAGGAAAAUGAUUGAGGGGAGGAUUUCAUGCGAGGCUCUUCAGGAAGAUGCUGAGUCAUUUGUAAAGACGCACUGGCUUGCGGGGGUUACUAGUGCUGUAGCUGCGGCAAAUUUGAUUGUGACUGAUACUGCAAAUGCUACAAGUAUGGAAAGCAUCAUGGAUUUUCCUGCUUCUCUUUAUACAUUGGCUGAUGGAGGCGUUGGCGAUUGGUUUGGAAGCUUUGUAUAUUCUGCUGGUCAACAGGCUAAUGAAGCUGUUCAAGGCCAGCUAUCAGCUCUCAGUUUUUCCAGUUUAGCUGUUAUAUUUGGUGCAGGGCUUGUAACUAGCCUUUCACCAUGUACAUUGAGUGUUUUGCCACUUACCCUUGGUUACAUUGGUGCAUUUGGGUCUGGCAAGAGUCGUGCAGCGGCUGUUGGAAAUUCAGUUGCUUUUGCAUUAGGAUUGGCUACAACACUUGCAUUACUUGGCAUUGCUGCUGCAUUUGCUGGGAAGGCAUAUGGUCAGAUCGGACGUGGACUGCCUGUGGCUGCUUCUAGUCUAGCUAUUGUUAUGGGGCUUAACUUGUUAGAGGUAAUAGAGUUGCAGCUUCCCUCAUUUUUCAACAAUUUUAAUCCCCGUGAAGCAGCUGCCAGUCUUCCUUCAAGUGUGCAAGCAUAUUUGGCAGGCCUUACAUUUGCCUUAGCUGCAUCACCUUGCAGUACACCUGUGCUAGCAUCCAUACUUGGAUAUGUUGCUGCAUCUAAGGAUCCAGUUGUAGGAGGCAGUUUACUGCUGACAUAUACGACCGGCUAUGUUGCUCCGUUACUUCUUGCUGCUUCCUUUGCCGGAGCAUUGCAGAGUCUACUAUCGCUCCGCAAGUUCUCAGCAUGGAUUAACCCAGUCAGUGGUGCACUACUAUUAGGUGGUGGUGUAUAUACCUUCUUGGAUAAGCUUUUUCCUGUCACAAUGGCAAUGUAGGCAAUAGGUUGAUUAUUACCCAUGAUGUCUUGAGGCUGGAGGGCUGAGCAGCCGAGCGCUAAUGCCAAGAGUUAUAUAUCCUAUGGUCGAUGCUAAGGUAAAGAAUUGACAGUUGGCUCAUGAUCAAUUGAAAAUAAUGAUUUACUAAUAGCUUCAUCAAAGAGAACAUGGAACAAUGAUCAUCUCAAUUUUUUGUGGGUCUUCUUGAUUUAAUUUGGUACACAAAAAGUGCAACAUGUUAUAAUUAAGAUCCUUAAUUAACGU